GGAGGGUGCAAGCGUUAUCCGGAUUCACUGGGUUUAAAGGGUGCGUAGGCGGAAUUGUAAGUCCGUGGUGAAAUCUCCAAGCUUAACUUGGAAACUGCCGUGGAUACUAUAAUUCUUGAAUGUUGUGGAGGUUAGCGGAAUAUGUCAUGUAGCGGUGAAAUGCAUAGAUAUGACAUAGAACACCAAUUGCGAAGGCAGCUGGCUACACAAAUAUUGACGCUGAGGCACGAAAGCGUGGGGAUCAAACAGGAUUAGAUACCCUGGUAGUCCACGCCCUAAACGAUGAUUACUCGACAUUUGCGAUAUACAGUAAGUGUCUGAGCGAAAGCAUUAAGUAAUCCACCUGGGAAGUACGACCGCAAGGUUGAA
rnacentral:rRNA from 1 species